UCUCUAUCCUAUACAGUGCCCCUGCCUGAUAAUUAUGUACAUAUUGCCACGUACUUUAUUGGUGUUGAACUAGCUAUAGCCUUUAGUUAUAUUAUUAUCUUGGUAAAUACUUUUUUUUUUUUUUCUGUGUCCCCUUGUUGUAUAUUGUGUAUAUAUAUAUAUUUUACAAGCUUUAAAAACUUCUUCCGUAACUGUAAAAUCCAUGAACCCUAGAGUUUGAAGUAGUCACAUAGUGCUUUUGAAAAAAGUUACACUCAUUUUAUAGUCAUUUGUCAAGUAAUCAGUUUAAAGGACUAGUAUACUGUCUAUUCAAUGUGUAGGUGUAACUCCUAUAAGCAUUGAUAGGAUUUACAUUUCCUAUUUACUGGAGACUAUAUUCUUUAAUUCUCAUUCUUUCAGUACAUAGGUUACCAUAGGCCUGGUGCAGGUUAAAAUACUACAGUACGUAGUAUAUUUGCAAGAAUUUUCAAUAUUCAAUUUUAUUGGCUUUGUCUUAAAAUUUAUUUUAGUCUGAGAAGUGAAACAUAAAAAUAUUGUUUUUUAUCACGUCUAUUCCCUAAUAACAAGUUAAAAGAUAACAUGGCCCCCUCUCUGGGUUUUAUUUUGUAACUAAUAUAUUGAGAAGGACAUAAAUCUGACUCUCUGCAUUGAUUACCCACCCUGGGGAAAAAGACUCAGUGGAUUAAAAUUCUGACAUGUGAAGUCAGGGCUGUUCCUGAGGGAGCUGCUGUCAGAGCAACUGUCCAGGCAAAUUAGAAGAUGGCAAAUUAUAAGAAGAGGUGGGGCAUAUGGCAUCCAAAAAAGGGUGAGUAACCAAAGAACUGCAAACCACAAUCAAAGAUCUGUGGGUAUACUAAAACCAAAGCUCCAGCAGUUUUAAGAAAAAAUAAAAAUUGAACAGUCUUGAAAAUCCUGGAUAAAAGAGAUUGAAUUUCACCCUGCAGCAAUUGGGCAUGUUGUAUGUCUCUGCUGUCUUGCAUCAGUGCUGAAAUUGGUCCAGUCAUCUGGAGGCUACUGCAUUAUCCAGAUUUUCCUAAAUUUUAUACAUGUAUAAAUGUAUAUAUAUUAUAUGUAUAUUAAUUAUAUAUAUGCAUUAAAAAGUGGCAACCUUGUUUUCUCCUAUAGUGAUGAAAAUAUUUUGUAUUUCUGCUUCACUUAUGCAUAGACAGGGGUUACUUUCGGGAGACAGAGAUUUAGGCAGAUAUUUUGGAUAUAAGAGUGUGGAAGAAAAAAGCAAAGUGAGUUUAGUUGCCAUUAAAAUGGUAAAGAGACAAUAUUCAGACUUCAAAAAAUCUGUCACAUAAGUAAUGCUAAUAACCUUAGAGCUUUCUACAGACUCCAUUUAGGACAACAUGCUUUUAAGGAUCAUCAGACUUUACCAAUGAAAAUUCAUUGAAAGCCAUAACAUUUUUAUAGUAUAACAAUUCCACAGUCGUUUUCAGGCACUGUUAUUUAAUAUCACAUAUGGUAGUAGCUUGCUUUUCUUUUGGUUCACAAAGAAAAAAUAUGCAUUUGCUAGCAAACUCUCCAUCCUUGCCUUGGAGCUUGACUGAUCAUUUCUUUCAUCAGAGGUCAUGUGUGCUUCUAAAAAUGAAACCUGUGUGGCCACUGUUUGUUCAGUUGUUGCAUAUUAGCUCCUCAGUGGUUAAAAAGAUCUGAACAAAUAAGAGGGCUUACCCUACAUUAUAUUACCCUUUAUUAGUAGGAAAUUGAAGUCUAGAGAUUAUUAUUAAGCCUCAGCCACUGAAGGCUACCCAUAGUCUGAUAAAGACCCCUCAAACUGACCCUUGAUCAAGCUGCAUUAGGAGGAUUUUACCCUUGUUACUAAUUAAAUAAACAGUUCUGAUGGUAUUAUUCUUCCUCAUAGCCAUUUCAUGACAUCAGCUCUCUGUUGCACCCAUGGACAAAGAGAAUCAUGUUCCUCUUUGAGAUGCAAUGGUAUAUUAAGGGCCUGACACUGGGCCAUCCAGUGGUCGGCAGCCCUGUUAUGUUUAACACGCUGGUGUAUCAGGUGUCAAAGGGCUUCUCAUUGAAGUUCAGGGAAUAAAGACAAGGUUUCCAUUAAAAUAGAAACUUCACAGAUUUCAUUUUUCAAAUGGAAGAAAGGCAAUUUAAUUUCUGCCUUGGUGUGCCACAGAAUGCAGAAAGGAGCAGCUUGGUGAGUCAGAGGCACAGACAUCAACAAAAAGGAUGACACGAAGAAUCACCCCAUCAUUCUGCUACUGACUCUGUUGCUUUCCAGUCCAGAUGAUGGAGAACACAUUAGCAGGAGCCAGAAAAAUAGAUGAAGAUCUAAAAAGAAAAUCACAUAAAAUGCUCUUCUUGGAAUCUUUAUUUGCUUACUCUGUUGAAGUUUUGACGUGCGCUUUUGCUUGAGGCUACAGUGAGGCUGAGAAACUUGGUUUUGCAACCUGCUAAGCUGGGAAAAUGAGACCCAGGAAGGGAGCUAGCUCAAAUGUGUGCAAUGUGGACACCAGAGAGAAGACUUGCAUGAGCCUCACAGCGUGGUGAACCUGAGCCUCUGCUCAUUCAUGGACGGCACUGCACAGAUUAUUUUAGAGCCUCUGCAUGAGGCUAGGUGUGCCUAUACAGUGUAUGAGAUUGCUUCCUUGAGUUUUCAAGAAAUCAAAGAGUCUUCAGGUAUGAGAAAAGAAAGAAUUGCUUCCUAUGGAUCCAAUAUAGAGAAAUUAAGGCUAUAAUUAUGCUCAUAGGAAAUUUACAGAUGAACUCAUGAUUAACCCACUUUUCAUU